UCGAUCUCCUGACCUCAUGAUCUGCCUGCCUCGGUCUCCCAAAGUGCUGGGAUUACAGGCGUGAACCACUGCGCCCAGCCAUGUACCACAUUUUCUUUAUCCAAUUCACUGUUGAUGGGCACCUAGAUUGAUUCCAUGUCUUUGCUCUUGUGAAUAGUGCUGUGGUAAACGUGAGUGCAUGCAUCUUUUUGGUAGAAUGAUUUAUUUUAUUUGGAUAUAUACCCAGUAAGGGGAUUGUUGAGUAGAAUGGUAGUUCUAAGUUCUUUGAAAAAUCUCUAAAUGGCUUUUUUUUUUUUUUUUUUUUUGAGACGGAGUCUUGCUCUGUCGCCCAGGCUGGAGUGCAGUGGCAUGAUCUCGGCUCACUGCAACCUCCACCUCCCUGGUUCAAGCAAUUCCCCUGCCUCAGCCUCCCAAGUAGCUGGGACUACAGGCGUGCACCACCACGCCCAGCUCUUUUUUUUUUUUUUUGUAUUUUUAGUAGAGACAGGGUUUCACCACGUUGGCCAGGCUGGUCACGAACUCCUGACCUCAGGCAAUCCGUCCACCUCUGCCUCCCAAAGUGCUGGGAUUACAGGCAUGAGCCACUGUGCCUGGCCCAAAUUGCUUUUUACAGUGGCUGGACUAAUUUAUAUUCCCACUAACAAUAUAUAAGUGUAGGGAGAUGACUUCUUAACCAAAGACCUGAUGUCUAGGAGUUUGCAGCAAUAAUGCAAAUGACAACAACUGUAUUUAAUCAACUGUUAAUACCACCCUGCUGGUGCUUUCUCCAAAGCUUUCAAGUUGCAGCCUCAGCAGAUAAUGAGGUAUGGGUCGUAAUUUUAAGAAAACCACCACCAGAUGAAGAAGCUUGUGUCUGAGGUUAGAAGUGGAAACAGGGAUAGCAGGCAGGAUUGAGGGAAACUGCCCCGGGCUUAGGAUGAGACCAGAGACAGGUUGGCUGCUGUGCGGGAGGGAAGCCACUCGGCUGGAUAGGAUGAUGUAAAGUGCUCCCACAGCGUCUUGUCCACAGGGGGUGCACCACCAGCAUCCUCCUUGGAAAUGCUGGCCACAGGUGCCCUGUGUAGAAGCACAAGUGAGUUGGUGAAGAGCGGAUCCCCACCACCAAGGACUGUGUGGAAGGAAUGAGUCCACAUCCCUGACUGAUUUGGCCGACUCCGUGUGUUCCCUGGGCUGAAGUGAGUGUCCUGCUGGACUCUACAAGGCCACCCUCAGCGUGUCAGUUUCUGGGAAAAAGGGUCAGCGUUCAUGGUUAAAGACGGGAGCGCAAGGAUGAAAAUGUUCUUUUAGGAUCUAAUGUUCUUUGGGAAAGAGGCUCAGGUGAAGAAAGGAGGAGGCCGAUGCCAGCACCGGGAAGUGAGAGGAAGGAGACCCAGAUAGCAGCAGGGCCAGCCGGAGCCCAUUCCGGAUGCCAGGCUGGGGAACUGGCAGGACUUCCCUUGCUCACACAUCCUGGGGUGUAGCUGCACACGUUUGUGAACACACGCACACACACGCACACCUCGCACUCAGGCCCACAGGUGCUGCAAAGCUUAAGAUCCAACCAUGCCUUACAAAGCUGGAAUGUAAGAGACUACUGAGAAUUGAGUUCUGCCCUCCCUACCAUGCAACACCCCCAGAUAACUGAAACGGCAAUUGGAAGGGGGAAUCAAUCUCACCAGGUCAUUAAGCAAGCAUAGCUCACUUUUACUCAAAACACUGUCCUUUAAAGUAUAAAAUAAGGGUCAAAGGUUUUUUUU
rnacentral:lncRNA from 1 species